rnacentral:rRNA from 1 species
UACGUAGGGUGCGAGCGUUAAUCGGAAUUACUGGGCGUAAAGCGUGCGCAGGCGGUGAUGUAAGACAGAUGUGAAAUCCCCCGGGCUCAACCUGGGAAUGGCGAUGGAUACUGGGCAGCUAGAGUGUGUCAGAGGAUGGUGGAAUUCCCGGUGUAGCGGUGAAAUGCGUAGAGAUCGGGAGGAACACCGGUGGCGAAGGCGGCCACCUGGUCCGGUACUGACGCUCAAGCGCGAAAGCGUGGGGAGCAAACAGG